rnacentral:rRNA from 1 species
UACGGAGGAUUCGAGCGUUAUCCGGAUUUAUUGGGUUUAAAGGGUCCGUAGGCGGAUUUGUAAGUCAGUGGUGAAAUCUCACAGCUCAACUGUGAAACUGCCAUUGAUACUGCUAAUCUUGAAUAUAGUUGAGGUAGGCGGAAUACGUUAUGUAGCGGUGAAAUGCAUAGAUAUAACGUAGAACACCGAUUGCGAAGGCAGCUUACUAAGCUAUUAUUGACGCUGAUGGACGAAAGCGUGGGGAGCGAACAGG